UGUUUGCUACGCUUAGCCUCAGCAGCUGUUCUUGGCUCAUCCAGCUCGAUGGUCGUAGCACAAGCCAGUGCAUAUGCAAUGACAGAAUCCCCAUCCUCGUACCUUGAUGGUGGUCUGAUCACUCUUCGUUCUCUAUCUCUUGAUAAUACAUAGUCAUCUAAGUCUAGACGUUCAGUCUGUUCCAAAUCUUCUCCCUCAGAAUCUUCAUCAGUUUCACUUGAAGACUUUGAGCUUUCUUGUUCUGAAUCUGCUCCACCUUGACCAGUAGACCUUGCAAUUUCUGAAUCAGCUCCACCUUGACUGGUGCAACCUUGAGUUGAUGGACCUUGUAUCAAUUCGGUUCUGAAAGUCACUUUCUUAGGUUUCUUAGGUUUCUCAAUCUUCUUCUCUGAAUCAUGAUACAACUUAUCCUCAUCAAAUACAACGUUUCUGCUGUUAGAGCAUUUACCAUCUUCUGGUAUCCAUACUCUAUAACCUUUGACUCCUUGAGGAUAUCCUACGAAAACCCCUUUAACA
rnacentral:lncRNA from 1 species